CUUACCUAACAGUUUCCGCAAGAGCUGCCAGUAUAUUUGGAAGGGUAGGCUGCCACUAUUCAGACACUUCUGUCGCGGUUGGCGAACGAGAACACAGUGACGGCGGCGACAUGAACAGGCAAUUGGUGGUCUUGGCUGUGCUGCUGACACUGGCGCUGUGUUUCGCGACGCUGAAGGCGAACCCGGUAGCUGACCCACGUCAUCACCACAGGGGUGGUGGCCACGACUAUGGACACGGACAUCACCACCAUGACUGGCACCGUCCACACCAUAGGCACCACCCACACCACGGGCACCACCACGACUACCAUUGAGAACAAGUGACGGCUCCUUGGUCAUUGAAGGAUAAGAGACUGAGAGGCUUAGAGUGAUAACGAUCAUGAGUCCAUGUAUAUUUGAGUAUUUAUUGACUAUUUUUAUCCAAAGGAUUAGCAAUGACAGUGUUUUAAUUGAACUACUUCAGAACAUGCAAGUGUUUUGUUGUUUCUGUGUCCUGCUACUCUCACAGAUUUGUUGUUCUGCAUUCUGCGUGUAACAAACUGGACACUUUUAGUGCCACUUUGGGGAAAAAAUUCAUAGUAUAAUAAUGUAAAAGAGAUUGGAUUAAUCUGAAAGUAAUGUUUACUAAGUUUGUAUAUCUUAUCCCACACCCAUUGAUCAAUUAGUCGAUAAGUUCUUGAGGAGCUACUGUUUAUACCGUUAUCUCCAGAUCUGUUGGUGCAAUACAUUGGUCUAUGUUUAUUUAAGAAUGUAUUAUUUUAAUGCAAAUCCUUUUUUCCGUUUGUGAUCUGAAGACGCAUUGUAAAAGAUUCAAUUUAGGUUAUUCUUUAUAUA